CAACCCUGGUGUGGACAUUUCCUCAUUAAUUCCUUGUACCUCUCCCAAGCCUCAUACAAUGACUCACGGUCACUCUUGAUAGAAAUGAUGGGAUAUCAUUUCUGAGUUU